rnacentral:rRNA from 1 species
AUUGAACGCUGGCGGCAGGCCUAACACAUGCAAGUCGAACGAGUGGCGGACGGGUGAGAAAUGUCUGGGAAACUGCCUGAGGGAGGGGGAAAAAUACGGGAAACGGUAGAUAAUACCGCAUACCAUCGGAUGUGCCCAGAUGGGAGUAGCUCGUAGGGGGGGUAACGGCUCACCUAGGCGACGAUCCCUAGCUGGUCUGAGAGGAUGACCAGCCACACUUGGACGGAGCCACGGCCCAGACUCCGACGGGAGUCAGCAGUGGGGAAUAUUGCACAAUGGGCGCAAGCCUGAUGCAGCCAUGCCGCGUGUAUGAAGAAGGCCUUCGGGUUGUAAAGUACUUUCAGCGGGGAGGCGUUACCCGCAGAAGAAGCACCGGCUAACUCCGUGCCAGCAGCCGCGGUAAUUC